AUUAACGCUAGCGGCAGGCCUAAUACAUGCAAGUCGAGGGGGUAACAGGGUAGCAAUACCGCUGACGACCGGCGCACGGGUGCGUAACACGUAUGCAACUUACCUAUAACUGGGGAAUAGCUCUCCGAAAGGAGAAUUAACACCGCAUAACAUCACGGGAUGGCAUCAUUUUGUGAUCAAACCUCCGGGGGUUAUAGAUGGGCAUGCGCAACAUUAGCUAGUUGGUGAGGUAAUGGCUCACCAAGGCGACGAUGUUUAGGGGGUCUGAGAGGACGAUCCCCCACACUGGUACUGAGACACGGACCAGACUCCUACGGGAGGCAGCAGUAAGGAAUAUUGGACAAUGGGGGCAACCCUGAUCCAGCCAUGCCGCGUGAAGGAUGAAGGCGCUCUGCGUCGUAAACUUCUUUUGCUCGGGAAAAACUGUUGGGAUUCUUCCCGACUUGAUUGUACCGAGAGAAUAAGGAUCGGCUAACUUCGUGCCAGCAGCCGCGGGUAAUACGAAGGAUCCAAGCGCUAUCCGGAUUUAUUGGGUUUUAAAGGGUGCGUAGGCGGCUUAUUAAGUCAGUGGUGAAAGCUCCAUGCUCAACAUGGAAAUUGCCAUUGAUACUGAUGAGCUUGAGUACACUUGAAGUGGGCGGAAUAUGUCAUGUAGAGGUGAAAUUCUUAGAGAUGACAUAGAACACCGAUUGCGAAGGCAGCUCACUAAAUUGUAACUGACGCUGAGGCACGAAAGCGUGGGGAUCAAACAGGAUUAGAUACCCUGGUAGUCCACGCCCUAAACGAUGAUUACUAGAUGUGUGCAAUAUACCGUACGCGUCACAGCUAAAGCGUUAAGUAAUCCACCUGGGGAGUACGGCCGCAAGGCUGAAACUCAAAGGAAUUGACGGGGGCCCGCACAAGCGGAGGAGCAUGUGGUUUAAUUCGAUGAUACGCGAGGAACCUUACCAGGGCUUGAAAGUUAAGGAAUGUUGUAGAAAUAUGACAGUCAGCAAUGACCUAAAACUAGGUGCUGCAUGGCCGUCGUCAGCUCGUGCCGUGAGGUGUUGGGUUAAGUCCCGCAACGAGCGCAACCCCUAUCAUUAGUUGCCAACAGGUAAUGCUGGGGACUCUAAUGAGACUGCCCGCGUAAGCGGUGAGGAAGGUGGGGACGACGUCAGGUCAUCACGGCCCUUACGUCCUGGGCUACACACGUGCUACAAUGGCCGGUACAGAGGGCAGCCAGAUGGUAACAUCGAGCUAAUCCUUAAAGCCGGUCUCAGUUCGGAUCGAGGUCUGCAACCCGACCUCGUGAAGCUGGAUUCGCUAGUAAUCGCGCAUCAGCCAUGGCGCGGUGAAUACGUUCCCGGGCCUUGUACACACCGCCCGUCAAGCCAUGGAAGUUGGGGGUACCUAAAGUCGGCCACCGCAAGGAGCUGCCUAGGGUAAAACCAAUGACUGGGGCU
rnacentral:rRNA from 1 species